rnacentral:piRNA from 1 species
UGAGCAGGAAGACCGAUUCAUGAGAGAGC